GACGAACGCUGGCGGUGUGCUUAACACAUGCAAGUCGAACGGUAAGGCCCUUUCGGGGGUCCACGAGUGGCGAACGGGUGAGUAACACGUGAGUAACCUGCCCUCAUCUCUGGGAUAACAGUCGGAAACGGUUGCUAAUACUGGAUAUGAGCUUGCAAGGCAUCUUGUGGGUUGGAAAGAUUUUUUUUGGUUGGGGAUGGACUCGCGGCCUAUCAGCUUGUUGGGGAGGUAGUGGCUCACCAAGGCUUCGACGGGUAGCCGGCCUGAGAGGGCGACCGGCCACAUUGGGACUGAGAUACGGCCCAAACUCCUACGGGAGGCAGCAGUGGGGAAUAUUGCACAAUGGACGGAAGUCUGAUGCAGCAACGCCGCGUGCGGGAUGACGGCCUUCGGGUUGUAAACCGCUUUCAAUUGUGACGAAGCUUUUUUGUGACGGUAGCAGUAGAAGAAGCACCGGCUAACUACGUG
rnacentral:rRNA from 1 species